rnacentral:rRNA from 1 species
CCUACGGGAGGCAGCAGUGAGGAAUAUUGGUCAAUGGACGCAAGUCUGAACCAGCCAUGCCGCGUGCAGGAAGACGGCUCUAUGAGUUGUAAACUGCUUUUGUACGAGGGUAAACGCAGAUACGCGUAUCUGUCUGAAAGUAUCGUACGAAUAAGGAUCGGCUGACUACGUGCCAGCAGCCGCGGUAAUACGGCGGAUUCAAGCGUUAUCCGGAUUUAGUGGGUUUAAAGGGUGCGUAGGCGGUCGGAUAAGUUAGAGGUGAAAUCCCGAGGCUCAACUUCGGCAUUGCCUCUGAUACUGUUCGGCUAGAGAGUAGUUGCGGUAGGCGGAAUGUAUGGUGUAGCGGUGAAAUGCUUAGAGAUCAUACAGAACACCGAUUGCGAAGGCAGCUUACCAGGCUACUUCUGACGUUGAGGCACGAAAGCGUGGGGAGCAAACAGGAUUAGAUACCCCGGUAGUC